GUUGAACGCUGGCGGCAUGCCUAACACAUGCAAGUCGCACGAGUGGCGGACGGGUGAGUCAUGUCUGGGACCCUGCCUUAUGGAGGGGGAUACCUACUGAAAACGGUAGCUAAUACCGCAUACCAUCGGCUUUGCCCUGAUGGGAUUCGCUAGUAGGUGGGGUAACGGCUCACCUAGGCGACGAUCCCUAGCUGGUCUGAGAGGAUGACCGGGCACACUGGAAGUGAGACACGGUCCAGACUCCUACGGGAGGCAGCAGUAGGGAAUAUUGCGCAAUGUGCGAAAGCCUGAGGGAGCAAUGCCGCGUGAAUGAAGAAGGGCUUCGGGUUGUAAAGUACUUUCAGCGGGGAGGCGGUACCCGCAGAGGAAGCACCGGCUAACUCCGUGCCAGCCGCCGCGGUAAUAC
rnacentral:rRNA from 1 species